rnacentral:rRNA from 1 species
UUAGAGAGCUUGCUUUUUAAGCUUAGUGGCGAACGGGUGAGUAACGCGUGAGUAACCUGCCCUAGAGUGGGGGACAGCAGUUGGAAACGACUGCUAAUACCGCAUAAGCCCACGGUACCGCAUGGUACUGAGGGAAAAGGAUUUAUUCGCUUUAGGAUGGACUCGCGUCCAAUUAGCUAGUUGGUGAGGUAACGGCCCACCAAGGCGACGAUUGGUAGCCGGACUGAGAGGUUGAACGGCCACAUUGGGACUGAGACACGGCCCAGACUCCUACGGGAGGCAGCAGUGGGGGAUAUUGCACAAUGGGGGAAACCCUGAUGCAGCGACGCCGCGUGGAGGAAGAAGGUUUUCGGAUUGUAAACUCCUGUCGUUAGGGACGAUAAUGACGGUACCUAACAAGAAAGCACCGGCUAACUACGUGCCAGCAGCCGCGGUAAAACGUAGGGUGCAAGCGUUGUCCGGAAUUACUGGGUGUAAAGGGAGCGCAGGCGGGAAGACAAGUUGGAAGUGAAAACCAUGGGCUCAACCCAUGAAUUGCUUUNCAAACUGUUUUUCUUGAG